AAAGACGAGUGUUAUUCAUCUUUAAUAGGUUUAAAGGGUACCUAGACAGUAUAUUUUGCUUUUAUUGGUACAUUUAUGCUAGAGUUUUAUGUGAGAGGAGUUUAGUACUAACGGAGUAGAGAUGAAAUUUUUUGAUACUGUUGGGCACUGAUAACGGCGAAGGCAGACCUUUAUGUAAAAACUGACGUUGAGGGACGAAGGCUUGGGUAGCAAACAGGAUUAGGUACCCUAAUAGUCCAGGCAGAAAAUGAUGAGUGUCAUAGAUUAGAGCAAUUUUGGUCUAUAAAUGAAAGUGUAAGCAUUCCACCUCAAGAGUACUGUGGCAACGCUGGAACUGAAAUCAUUAGACCGUGCUUGAAACCAGUAGUGAAGUAUGUUAUUUAAUUCGAUAAUCCGCGAAAAACCUUACCACGAAUUGUAUAUAUUUAGCAAAAUAAAACAAAAUCGUUUUAGUUGGAAUCUUUUUAAUAAGAAUGUUAUUUUUACAAGUGCUGCAUGGCUGUCUUAAGUUAAUGUCGUGAGAUGCAGGUUAGCUCCAUUAAAUUAACGUAAACCCUCAUCACACUUUAGGUGUGGUGGUUCUCUGGCAUAUCAGAAAGAUAAGUGGGAACAAGACAAGUACACAUGGCCU
rnacentral:rRNA from 1 species